UACGGGGGGGGCAAGCGUUGUUCGGAAUUACUGGGCGUAAAGGGCGCGUAGGCGGCCUACUAAGUCGAACGUGAAAUCCCCGGGCUCAACCCGGGAACUGCGUCCGAGACUGAAAGGCUUGAAUCCGGGAGAGGGAUGUGGAAUUCCAGGUGUAGCGGUGAAAUGCGUAGAUAUCUGGAGGAACAUCGGUGGCGAAGGCGGCAUCCUGGACCGGUAUUGACGCUGAGGCGCGAAAGCCAGGGGAGCAAACGGG
rnacentral:rRNA from 1 species